AUGGAAGACAUAGCCAGAGAAUAUUUUGGUCUGCUCCUUUCACGCUCAUUUUUCCAAGAAAUCAAGCUUGGAUCCAGUACUUACUACUUAAUGCAUGACUUACUCCAUGAUCUUGCAAAGUCUGUUGCAGCGGAGGACUGCUUCCAUAUUGAGGAUGGCAUGAAAUGUGACAUCCCAUCAACAGUGCGCCAUCUGUCCGUCACUGUGAAGAGUCUACUUGGUCUCACAAGCUUCAGUGGGCUACCAGAGCUGCUCACCUUGUUCAUCCAACCAUCACUUCCGUCCUCCUCCAGUUGCUUCCAAGAGGAUUUUGCUGUGAAUUUAGAAAGUAUCUUGAAGAAGUCCAAACAUUUGCGUGUUCUUGAUCUCAGUGGCUAUAACUCCAAAGAGUUACCUCAUUGCAUUUAUGACUUACUGCACCUCCGUUACCUAUCUAUCCAUGGCUCCAUCCAGAGACUUCCUGAGUCGAUUGGCAAGCUUCUGCAUCUGCAAACAUUGUGCAUCUCUGGGAAAUGUUCCCUUGAGAAGCUUCCUGCGAGCGUUAGUAUGUUGGUCAAUUUGCGGCAUCUUAUGGUUGAAAUGAAGUAUACUGCAGGACUGGUAGGCAUUGGCCGGCUAGCAAACCUUCAGGGAUCACUUGAGCUCCACAUUGCGAAGUUGGAAGGGCGCAAACCAGAAGAAUUGAGGAACAUUGAUGGUCUUCAUGGGUUAGUAAUAAAAUGUCUAGAAAAUGUUUCAGGCUAUGAAGAAGCCCGCAAAGCUGAGUUGAAUAAGAAACUUUAUCUUAAUUUUCUGAAUUUGGAAUGGAGCUCAGCUAGUAGAAAUAGCUCCCCUCCUGCUGAUGCAAAGGUGCUUGAAGGUCUGCGGCCUCACCAUGCCAUAAAGGUACUUAAUAUUAGAAGGUAUUGUGGCGCCAAAGCUCCUAGUUGGCUGCAGUCACUGCAGCAACUACGUUCUUUGCGCCUCAUCAAUUGCAGGAGCUUGUGCAUCCUUCCUCCAUUGGGAAAUUUAGGAUCACUCAGAUAUUUACACAUGAAGGAGAUGUGUGCAGUUGAUCGAAUUGGACAUGAGUUUUAUGGCACCGGUGAUGUGGCAUUUCCAUCUCUAAGUGUCCUUGAAAUUGAUGAUUUCCCGAAGUUGUGUGAGUGGGCUGGCAUAGAGGACAAGAACUCAUUUCCAUGCCUUGAAAGGGUAAGUCUAAUGGAUUGUCCAGAAUUGAUCAAAAUUCCUUUGUUCUGCCAAGCUACUCGUGAAGUUACCAUCGAACGAACACGGUUGAUACCAUAUAUGAGGCUUGCACCCUUUUCUUCAAGUUCAGAAAUGCUCCAGCUGGACGUUUGCACAAGUUCUGUCAUCCUCAAUAGAUUACUCUACAAACAUCAUAUACAGUCCAUUGCAGUGUUAAACAUAAGUGGGGCUGAGCAGCUUGCUGCUGCUGAACAACUGGGGUCUCUGGUAUCUCUGCAAAGGCUUCAGCUCUCUCGGUGUAAUCUUACUGACCAGACACUAAGAAGCUUUCUUCAGGAUCUGCCUUGUUUGUCUUAUUUGGAGAUUCUAGACCUUCCUAACAUCACAUCACUUCCGUUAGCGGAAACAGUUAAGUUCUGCACAGUGCUCACUGAGUUGUGCAUUCGCAACUGUCAAUCGCUUUGUUCUCUAUCCUCAUUGCAGUAUCUUGCUUCACUAAAAUAUCUGGUGAUUGAGAGGUGCCCUGAAGUAACUGCAACAUCAUUUCCUGUGAACUUUAUGAGCCUUUCAUAUCUGAAGGGGCUGAGAAUGUCGUACUGCACAGAGCUUCAAUCUUUACCGUAUCUGCCAUCGUCACUGGAAACACUUUAUAUCUUUCGGUGCCACCCUGAAUUGUCCAGGAAGUCAAGAAACAUGAAAGGGCAUUAUGUUGAGAAGCUUGCAAUUGUACCUAGUGUAUCGAUCGAGUAA
rnacentral:rRNA from 1 species